UACGGAAGGCAGCAGUGGGGAAUAUUGCACAAUGGGCGCAAGCCUGAUGCAGCCAUGCCGCGUGUAUGAAAAAGGCCUUCGGGUUGUAAAGUACUUUCAGUCGUGAGGAAGGUGUUAAGGUUAAUAACCUUAGCAAUUGACGUUAGCGACAGAAGAAGCACCGGCUAACUCCGUGCCAGCAGCCGCGGUAAUACGGAGGGUGCGAGCGUUAAUCGGAAUUACUGGGCGUAAAGGGCACGCAGGCGGUUAAUUAAGUUGGAUGUGAAAUCCCCGGGCUUAACCUGGGAAUGGCAUUCAAGACUGGUUAGCUAGAGUCUUGUAGAGGGGGUAGAAUUCCAUGUGUAGCGGUGAAAUGCGUAGAGAUGUGGAGGAAUACCAGUGGCGAAGGCGGCCCCUGGACAAAGACUGACGCUCAUGUGCGAAAGCGUGGGGAGCGAAAC
rnacentral:rRNA from 1 species